GCGGUGAAAUGCGUAGAUAUCAGGAAGAACACCCAUGGCGAAGGCAGCUCUCUGGGACGGUACUGACGCUGAGACGCGAAAGCGUGGGGAGCGAACAGGAUUAGAUACCCUGGUAGUCCACGCCGUAAACGAUGGGUGCUAGGUGUGGGGGGUGUCGACUCCCUCCGUGCCGAAGCUAACGCAUUAAGCACCCCGCCUGGGGAGUACGGCCGCAAGGCUAAAACUCAAAGGAAUUGACGG
rnacentral:rRNA from 1 species